CCUACGGGUGGCAGCAGUGAGGAAUAUUGGUCAAUGGGCGCGAGCCUGAACCAGCCAAGUAGCGUGAAGGAUGACUGCCCUACGGGUUGUAAACUUCUUUUAUAAAGGAAUAAAGUGAGGCACGUGUGCCUUUUUGUAUUUACUUUAUGAAUAAGGAUCGGCUAACUCCGUGCCAGCAGCCGCGGUAAUACGGAGGAUCCGAGCGUUAACCGGAUUUAUUGGGUUUAAAGGGAGCGUAGAUGGGUUGUUAAGUCAGUUGUGAAAGUUUGGGGCUCAACCGUAAAAUUGCAAUUGAUACUGGCAGGCUUGAGUCUCGUAGAGGUGGGCAGAAUUCGUGGUGUAGCGGUGAAAUGCGUAGAUAUCACGAAGAACUCCGAUUGCGAAGGCAG
rnacentral:rRNA from 1 species